GUGCUCUCUCUCCCUUCCACUGGCUCUGCCUUUUCAUCUUUGUAAGAGUACAAAGGGGAAAAAAACCUAUCUUCUUAAAGGCUGAGCUUGUCUGCUGGAAAAAUGCCCAUUUGCAGGGAAUAAAGUUUGUCAUGGUGAGACACCAGACCUCUGACGAGGCUCAGGUAACCUCGCGUGCACGGUGCCAACAAAGGGGCCCUGUCAGCCCUUGUAGAAGGCACUGAGACUUCAGUCAGCCCUGACUCCCAGAAGAUGAGGAGUGUGCUGCUGAAGCGCUAGGCUGUGGAUCCUCGGAUCUCUUGGUUCAUGGAGGAGCUGCAGAGGCUUGGCAUGAAGAUGAAAAGGUGACAACAGCAGCAGCAUCCCAGAGUUUGUGAUCACACAGCCAGAUGAGGCCCUUUGCAAUGCUCAGCUUUUGAAAUCAGCGCAGCAUGGAAGGCAGUGGGAGCACACCAGUGACACCAGGAUGGGGUCCCCAUGCACAGACACCUGGGUUCAGCAAGCAGGACUUGCCCUUUGUUGUGGGCUACCAGCUCCCUUCUGUCUCAGCUUCAUUUUUUCUGGGUAAUGCACCCCAUUGUAAAUAGAUCAAUUGCCAGCAUUAUGUAACAUAAAGAAAGAGAGCUCGCUACAUCAUUUUUUCAUAAUUAUACAAAAAUAAAAUGAGUG